rnacentral:rRNA from 1 species
GCCCGCUCAAGAAACUACGAAAGGAAUUGACGGGGCCCGCACAAGCGGUGGAGUAUGUGGUUAAUUCGAUGCAACGCGAAGAACCUUACCUGGUCUUGACAUCCCGGAGACCCUUAGGAAACUAGGGGGUGCUUCCAUCUGGAAGAAUCUGGAGACAGGUGCUGCAUGGCUGUCGUCAGCUCGUGUCGUGAGAUGUUGGGUUAAGUCCCGCAACGAGCGCAACCCUUGCCUUUAGUUGCCAGCAGUUCGGCUGGGCACUCUAAAGGGACUGCCGGUGUUAAACCGGAGGAAGGUGGGGAUGACGUCAAGUCCUCAUGGCCUUUAUGACCAGGGCUACACACGUACUACAAUGGCCGAUACAAAGGGCAGCGACACUGCGAGGUGAAGCCAAUCCCGUAAAAUCGGUCUCAGUCCGGAUUGGAGUCUGCAACUCGACUCCAUGAAGUUGGAAUCGCUAGUAAUCGUGGAUCAGCAUGCCACGGUGAAUACGUUCCCGGGCCUU